rnacentral:rRNA from 1 species
GACGAACGCUGGCGGCGUGCUUAACACAUGCAAGUCGAACGGAAAGGCCCUUUCGGGGGUACUCGAGUGGCGAACGGGUGAGUAACACGUGGGUGAUCUGCCCUGCACUUUGGGAUAAGCCUGGGAAACUGGGUCUAAUACCGAAUAUGAUCAUGCGCCUCAUGGUGUGUGGUGGAAAGCUUUUGCGGUGUGGGAUGGGCCCGCGGCCUAUCAGCUUGUUGGUGGGGUAAUGGCCUACCAAGGCGACGACGGGUAGCCGGCCUGAGAGGGUGUCCGGCCACACUGGGACUGAGAUACGGCCCAGACUCCUACGGGAGGCAGCAGUGGGGAAUAUUGCACAAUGGGCGCAAGCCUGAUGCAGCGACGCCGCGUGGGGGAUGACGGCCUUCGGGUUGUAAACCUCUUUCAGUAUCGGCGAAGCUCCAGGGUUUUCUUUGGGGUGACGGUAGGUACAGAAGAAGCACCGGCCAACUACGUGC